rnacentral:rRNA from 1 species
AGGAUAAACGCUGGCGGCGUGCCUAACACAUGCAAGUCGAACGCGCUUUUUUCGCAAGAGGAGAGCGAGUGGCGGACGGGUGAGUAACACAUGGGUACCUACCUUGGAGUGAGGGAUACCGGCGAGAAAUCGCCGACAAUACCGCAUACGCUUCUCUUCACCGGGAAGCAAAGUUGCGCAAGCGACGCUCUGAGAUGGGCCUGUGGCCGAUUAGCUAGUUGGUGGGGUAACGGCCUACCAAGGCGACGAUCGGUAGCUGGUCUGAGAGGACGAUCAGCCACACUGGGAUUGAGAACGGCCCAGACUCCUACGGGGGCAGCAGUGAGGAAUUUUCCGCAAUGGACGCAAGUCUGACGGAGCAACGCCGCGUGCAGGAUGAAGGUUUUCGGAUCGUAAACUGCUUUUCGUCGGGGACGAGCAAGGACGGUACCCGAGGAAGAACGCCCCGGCUAACUACGUGCCAGCAGCCGC